CGCAAUGGACGAAAGUCUGACGGAGCAACGCCGCGUGAGCGAUGAAGGCCUUCAGGUCGUAAAGCUCUGUUGUUAGGGAAGAACAAGUAUCGGAGUAACUGCCGGUACCUUGACGGUACCUAACCAGAAAGCCACGGCUAACUACGUGCCAGCAG
rnacentral:rRNA from 1 species